GCGAAGUGGAGCAAAACUACUGAAAAACAAUCUCAGUUCAGAUUGCAGGCUGCAACUCGCCUGCAUGAAGUCGGAAUUGCUAGUAAUCGUAGGUCAGCAUACUACGGUGAAUACGUUCCCGGGCCUUGUACACACCGCCCGUCAAACCAUGAGAGUUGGCAACACCCGAAGUCGGUAGUCUAACCGCAAGGAGGACGCCGCCGAAGGUGGGGUUGAUGAUUAGGGUUAAGUCGUAACAAGGUAAC
rnacentral:rRNA from 1 species